rnacentral:rRNA from 1 species
CCUACGGGAGGCAGCAGUGGGGAAUAUUGCGCAAUGGGCGAAAGCCUGACGCAGCGACGCCGCGUGAGGGAUGAAGGUCUUCGGAUCGUAAACCUCUGUCAGCAGGGAAGUACGGUCACUGUGCUAAUCAGCAGUGAAUUGACGGUACCUGCAAAGGAAGCACCGGCUAACUCCGUGCCAGCAGCCGCGGUAAUACGGAGGGUGCAAGCGUUAAUCGGAAUUACUGGGCGUAAAGCGCUCGUAGGCGGUAUGUCAAGUCAAGGGUGAAGUCCCCGCGCUCAACGUGGGAACUGCCUUUGAAACGGGCAAACUGGAGUGUGUGAGAGGAUAGUGGAAUUCCAGGGGUAGGAGUGAAAUCCGUAGAUAUCUGGAGGAACAUCAGUGGCGAAGGCGACUAUCUGGCACAUAACUGACGCUGAGGAGCGAAAGCGUGGGUAGCAAACAGGAUUAGAUACCCGGGUAGUC